GACGAACCGUGCGAACGUUGUUCGGAUUCACUGGGCUUAAAGGGCGCGUAGGCGGGCUUGCCAGUCAAGGGGUGAAACGUCCUCCGGCUCAACCGGAGCAGGGCCUUUGAUACUGCAAGUCUUGAGGGGAGGCAGGGGCAACUGGAACAAGCGGUGGAGCGGUGAAAUGCGUAGAUAUCGCUUGGAACGCCAAAGGUCGAAAACGAGGUUGACUG
rnacentral:rRNA from 1 species